UCUGUCUAUAAAGUCGUGACAUGAAUGUUUGAGGAACUAACAUUAUUCAUGUGUCUGGCAACACCAAAGAUCACCAAACAUAUGUACAUCAGCUGUCAUCGAGAACAAGUUGUGGAACGAUUUUCAUUUUGUGGUUUUUAUUGUUUGACUAAUCUCCUGUAAAUUAUUACUCAGCUACGAAGAAAAGUAUAAACAAUGAGUAAAGUAAAUUGGAGUGCCACGCGGAAAGUGAUUUUUAAAGUUUUCCAGCAAUGUUCCGCGGAGUACCAAGCUGGUCAAAUUUUGUGGGAUUUUGAUGUUUUUUAUGGGCGAACAGCAUCUUUGACGGGAAAAUCAGAGAGUACAGUUAAGCGCAUAGUCAAUGAAGGUUUUCAGAAUAAUGGAAAAUUUAGAACUCCUGGGAAACACAGGCAAGGCCGACCAAAGAAAGAAAUGGAUAAUUUUAAUAUUUGUGCUCUGCGCCAAAAAAUAUAAUUUUUUACACGGUACAAAAAGAGGUCACAAAAUGUUCGCAAUCUCUAAACAUCAAAGGCAUCACAAAAGACAUUUUCAAAGGAAAGCGUUAUAUCAUAGUCCAUGCUGGAAGCGAAAAGGGGUUUGUGCCAAACUGCCUCCUCAUAUUCACUGGCAGAAAUAAUUUGGAAGACUACCAUUCAGAAAUGAAUGCGCAUAACUUCACGAAGUGGAUUAAAGAAAAACUAAUACCAAAUCUUCAUGAGCCUUCCAUUAUAUUUAUGGACCUGUACCAAGACAAUUGGUUAUUUGCUUAGGCGAUAAUAACAGCAGCGAAGAUGAUGAUGUGAAUGAUGACAGCGCUGCUUAUGAAAGUGGCAACGAAACUUUUCUUAACAUCGAAAAUUUGGAAUCCGAUGAUGAAAGUGAUUAAUAAAUGUCCUUAUUAACUAUGUAUAA